UACGUAGGGUGCGAGCGUUGUCCGGAAUUAUUGGGCGUAAAGAGCUCGUAGGCGGUCUGUCGCGUCGAAUGUGAAAACCCGGGGCUCAACUCCGGGCUUGCAUUCGAUACGGGCAGGCUAGAGUUCGGUAGGGGGAGUCUGGAAUUCCUGGUGUAGCGGUGAAAUGCGCAGAUAUCAGGAGGAACACCGGUGGCGAAGGCGGGACUCUGGGCCGAUACUGACGCUGAGGAGCGAAAGCGUGGGGAGCGAACAGG
rnacentral:rRNA from 1 species